UUCCCAGUGAAGAAAAGACAGAGCUGCCACUUGUACCCAGAUUGUCUGGAUCCUAAAAUCAAUAGCCUAAAAAGAUAAUAAUUUGCCUCUUACACCCCACCAAGAAAUUCUGUUCAAUUCUGUUGAGCUGAGAGGGAAGAACAGGGAGACUGGAAAUAUGAAGAAAGGGGAAUGGCCCCAGAGGAUUUCCCUGUGUGAAUUCAAUUUACCUUUAUUCAGGUGGGAGAUUAUAGGUUAUAUAACCACCCCCAAUAUAAAGCAAUCUCUUCCCCGAUGACACUCAAACCCGGAAAACUUGAAUCCCAGGGUGUUCAGAUUUUGGUAUAAGCUGAUCUCCCAGGACCUACUUAGGCAGGAUCUGGUGCCCAGGACAGAACCUGUUGACCUGGCACCAUGGAGCUGGGAGGGGCUGUCACCAUCUUUCUGGCACUCCGCUUGUCUUGCCUGCUCAUCCUCAUUGCCUGGAAACGAAUGGAUAAGGCAGGAAAGCUGCCCCCAGGUCCUACACCAAUUCUUUUCCUGGGGCACCUGCUGCAAGUUCGAACUGAUGCUACGUUUCAGUCUUUCAUGAAGGUGAGUCUGUCUGUCUCCUUUAAUAGGGCUAAAAGCAACUAAUCCUAUAGCCAGAUUCACAUAGAAACUUAUGACUUCUAAAAGAUAGACUCUCAGAAACACAGACUUUGCAAAUCUUAGAAUUCUGAAAUUCCAGAAUCCUAAAAUGUUGGAAACACACAUUCUCAGUGCAUUGAAAUAAGAUUUUCAUGAUCUCAGGACUUUGGAAUCACAGUACAUUAUAUUUUUAAACACAGGAUUCUUUGACUCAGCUUGUCUUAGCACUUUGAGACUUGGUAUCAUGAAGUCUUAAGAUUCUAGAAAUUUAACAUUUCAGAGAGAGAAGUAUGAAUCUUGGAAUUUAUCGAAUCCAGGUCCCUUAUUUUGGAGAUGCAGACAGUAACUCUUGUGGGAAGGGAUGAGCUUUUGCCGAGAAUGACAGAAGCCAAGACUUCCGUGCCUCUUUCCCAGUAUUCCUUCCAAGCCCAGAUUUACCUUGGUUCCUUAGUACCAUGUUUAUAUCCCUCUAAAAUCGCCAUCCUCUAAAAUCCUCAACUGGCCUAUGCUUGGUACUCCAGUCAGCCCCUCCUCUUGUGUUUUCCUUCACUCCAAGCUCAGGGAGAAAUACAGCCCUGUGUUCACUGUGUACAUGGGUCCCGGCCAGUGGUGGUUUUAUGUGGACACGAAGCAGUGAAGGAAGCCUUGAUAGACCAAGCGGAUGAGUUCAGUGGCCGUGGAGAACUGGCUUCAAUAAAGCAAAACUUCCAAGGUCAUGGAUCCUGCAGAGAGGGAACCUUACUCUCUUGAUUGAGUCUUGAAGGUUGAGGAUGGCUUCCUGGACAGCAGAGUCUAGAGCUUUCAUAAUCUUUCCCCAUCACUGCCUAAGCACAGAGUUGAACACAGCAAGGGGAGGGAGGCAGAAGCCUGAGACUGAGAUCUUGGCAGGUGUAGCUCUGGCCAAUGGAGAACGAUGGAGGAUUCUCCGACGCUUCUCCCUGACCAUCCUUCGGGACUUCGGGAUGGGAAAGCAGAGCAUUAAGGAGCGAAUUCAGGAGGAGGCCAGCUACCUACUGGAGGAGUUCCAGAAGACCAAGCUAAGAUUCACGAAGAGAUUAACCAGGUGAUUGGACCACACCGGCUCCCAAGGGUGGAUGACCGGGUCAAGAUGCCCUACACAGAUGUCGUUAUCCAUGAAAUACAGAGACUGGUAGACAUCGUGCCCAUGGGUGUCCCCCACAACAUCAUCCAGGACACUCAGUUUCGAGGUUACCUUCUGCCCAAGGGCACAGACGUAUUUCCCCUGCUUGGCUCUGUCCUCAAAGACCCCAAAUACUUCCGCUACCCAGAUGCCUUCUAUCCCCAGCACUUUCUGGAUGAGCAGGGCCGCUUCAAGAAGAAUGAAGCCUUUGUGCCUUUUUCCUCUGGAAAGCGCAUCUGCUUGGGCGAGGCCAUGGCCCGCAUGGAACUCUUUCUCUACUUCACCUCCACCCUUCAGAACUUCUCUCUAUGCUCGCUGGUGCCACUUGUGGACAUCGAUAUCACCCCCAAGCUCUCAGGCUUUGGCAACAUCACCCCGACCUAUGAGCUCUGCCUUGUGGCCCGCUGAGCCACACCUCCUGCGGGGCAAGGAGGAAGUGGUGAAGAAUGCAGCUCUCCUCUCGUGUUCAGGAGCACCCCCUCUUCCUCAUCUUACUAAUCCUCAAGCAUCCCUAAGAGGAGGCACUAUGAUUACAGAGUCAGCCAGGGUCACCUGAGAAUGUACAGCUGCGUGUCUUCCUCUCCCGUAGAAGAGCAACGCCCUGUGCAAGAUUUGCACCUCUGCCUGCAGGUUUCAUGGUCACAUGGUCACCGUUGCUUAGGUUUCUGGCUGCAUCAAAUUAUUACUGCAGUCCCUGUGUCUUCAUGUUGUCCCUUUUUGUGUGUGCUCUGAUUUUGACCAAAAUGUAGUCUAAAAUCCUU